GGUAGGUACGUGUAACUUCCACAUUACAUAUUAUUUAUUUUUUAAGUAUUAAGGUUGAUGUUGAUAUCAAAAAUUUAGAUUUCAAAGAUAGUUUUAUGUAGGUAGAUACUAAUAGAGUAAUACUAGAUAAUAGAUUAGAUACAAAGUAAGCUGUAAGUAGUAUAACUGCCCAUGUAAUCACCUGUUAUGUUGUUUUUUUUUAGAUUUGCACUGUAUGGAUGGCACAGGAAGAGAACAGUACAAGAACAUGAAACAUCUUAUUAUGAAUGUAUAUGUAUGUGAUCCUCAAAAAAUUAUUUUACAAAACAAGAUAGAGAAAGAGCUUUAAAAUCCCAAGGAUCCUGCAAAAUGUUUAUUUGGUGUACUAGUCGAAUAAUAGUAUCUAAAAAUAUUGAAACUAUUUUAAAACAUAUUACGGACACGAGGAUGAUAUAGAGCACUUACAUAAAUACCAAAAUCAGAUAAAUAUCUCUUCAAAGUUUAUUUUGAGACUUUCUUCAAAAAUUAAACUUCAGACUGUUCAGGAUAGCAUAAUAGCAUAGGAGGCGAAUUAAAAAGAAUUAAUUUACUUACAAGAAAAGAUAUCACAAACAUUAAACUCUCUUAUGGCAUUGAUUUGAAAGAUGCUUACAGGUCCGGAUGCACAGGGUUGAAUGCUUACAGACUCAUGUCCAAUAUUAUUUUACAAACAACAGGGCAUACUAAUGGAUAUUCAUUCUGAAUUUAACAUUUAUGAUUUUUGUCUUAUUUUCCUUAAUACUGUGCCAAAAGGAAAUGUUAAUUAAGUUUGGUAAAUCCUUUAUCGCAAUCGAUGGAACUCAUGGGCUCAAUUCCUAUGACUUUGAACUUAUGACAGUAUUAGUAAAAGAUGAAUUUGGGAAUGGAUUUUGUACUGCUUUCUUAUUUUCAAAUAGAAAAGAUACCUACUUUAA